UGAGGUAGUAAGUUGUGUUGUUGUGGGGGUGUGGGAUAUUGCAACCCCUAUUUUGGAGAUACAACUAUACAACUUACUGCCUUC
rnacentral:miRNA from 1 species